rnacentral:rRNA from 1 species
AACUUAAGCAUAUCAAUAAGCGGAGGAAAAGAAACCAACAGGGAUUGCCUCAGUAGCGGCGAGUGAAGCGGCAAAAGCUCAAAUUUGAAAUCUGGCGUCUUUGGCGUCCGAGUUGUAAUUUGAAGAAGGUAUCUUUGGGCCCGGCUCUUGUCUAUGUUCCUUGGAACAGGACGUCACAGAGGGUGAGAAUCCCGUGCGAUGAGAUGACCCGGGUCUGUGUAAAGUUCCUUCGACGAGUCGAGUUGUUUGGGAAUGCAGCUCUAAGUGGGUGGUAAAUUCCAUCUAAAGCUAAAUAUUGGCGAGAGACCGAUAGCGAACAAGUACAGUGAUGGAAAGAUGAAAAGAACUUUGAAAAGAGAGUGAAAAAGUACGUGAAAUUGUUGAAAGGGAAGGGCUUGAGAUCAGACUUGGUAUUUUGCAUGUUGCUCUCUCGGGGGCGGCCGCUGCGGUUUACCGGGCCAGCAUCGGUUUGGAGCGGCAGGAUAAUGGCGGAGGAAUGUGGCACGGCUUCUGCUGUGUGUUAUAGCCUCUGACGAUACUGCCAGCCUAGACCGAGGACUGCGGUUUUUACCUAGGAUGUUGGCAUAAUGAUCUUAAGUCGCCCGUCUUG